rnacentral:lncRNA from 1 species
GAGACGCACCUCCUGGUCCAGUAAAGAUGACUACUCCGGAGCUCAUCGUUCAAGGAGGAGCGACCUACCUUGAACCAAACGAAUGUGAGUAUGAUCGGAUCCUCCUUUAGAGGAUUCAAUGCUUAAACAAUGCUACACUUUAACUCUAACUAGCUCUUUAUGCUAGUUUCAUAAUUUCCAAUGUCGAUGCUAACCAAAUCUCUAGUCAUGAUGUCACUAAGUUUACUAUUGUUAUAGUCCAUGCAUUCAUAGGGUUCUAUGUCUAGAAUCAAUGCUCAUAUGUUCAUAUUAUUCAUAGGAAUUCAGAUAUUCAAGUUCACUUGCAAUAAGCCCAUACCCUAUAAUGCAUGAAUACAAUUCAAUUUAUAUGAAUAUGCUCAAUGAAAUAUCAUAGACAUAAAAGGUGAUUCAAAAAUUUCGGAUAGCACCACCCACCUGUAGUGGUGUCAACAACUAGAAUCCACGUCUC